rnacentral:tRNA from 1 species
GCGGGAAUGGCGCAAUUGGCAGCGCAUCUGUUUCCCAAACAGAAGGUUGCGGGUUCGAACCCCGUUUCCCGCU